AUUAAGUUUUGUAAUUAUAGUGUGUACAAAGGUUACAGGAAGACAGAAGAAGGAGAAAAUAGUCAAUGUAUUUAAUCAUCCCAGCAACCGUGGGAGACAGGAAUUGUUGGCUCAUUUUCACAGAUGGGGAAACUGAGCUAAAACUCCUCAUGAAAUCUACAUGGAUGGAUGACAUGCAGGAAGAAACAUAAGCCAUUUCUUCUCAGAGUUCACCAUAUCACUAAGAAUGAUCAGAAUGAUUGUGAAGCACCGGAAAACUCCUAAACAUGAGAAAAAGAAGAUAAUUUAGAGUUUGUUUAUCAGAGCAUCCAGAAGUAACUGAAGCAAGGCACCUAUGAACUCUGCCUUCCUGGCUCAGAAGCCAGUGCUGACCAGGAACUGUGUACAGGAAAGGGAGCUGCCGCCUGCUGACUGAUCCUGCGGAUCCUGCAGGGGUUGGAUGAGCAGCUUUGCCCUGUCAUAUCCCAGCCUAUCCUCCUGGUCCAGCAGCCCUCCCUGGCCCUCACUGCAGCUCACCAGUAACCCGUUUCUGUUGUGCAGAACUGGAGACCUCUCUUCCAAUGCGCAUUUGCACCAGGGUCUGCUUCUCUCAGAUUCUCUCUCUGGUCUGUGUCCAAGCAUACAGGCCAGAACCCAAGGCCAACCUUACUAUGCAUCCAAGGUUUCAAUUAAAUAAUGGGUUUGGGGGCAGUCGGUCUGGCUUGACUUAGUAUAUAUUAAUAGUACCUGAUUUACAAAUCCCUGCAAUAAGAAAAGGGUUCUGACUGGGGUUUACUACAAGGGCUCUCGGCAUCCAGCAGGAAUGGAGAGUCACCCCUUUGGGAUGGGGUAAGGAGCAGCCCCAAAAGGCUCAGAUGUGCCUAAGAGGUGUCACAGCUGGGUGGCUGCUGGGGAAACAAACCAAUUUUCUUAAUCAUUUGAAUUGGCUGAAUAAAAGAGAAAAUAAGUCAAGAGAAAAUAAAAUGAGGCUAUUAGAGAAAGAAGUCCUUGGGUACAGAGGUUGUUUCCGGGGGAGGGGGACAAUGUUUAUUAAUUCAAAUGUCUAUCUUAUUUUUUCCAAAGGCCAAUUCCUUUGGGUGCCCUAAUGUCAUUUUCUUUCUUGAUAAGUAUG
rnacentral:lncRNA from 1 species